rnacentral:rRNA from 1 species
UACGAAGGGGGCUAGCGUUGUUCGGAAUUACUGGGCGUAAAGCGCACGUAGGCGGAUACUUAAGUCAGGGGUGAAAUCCCGAGGCUCAACCUCGGAACUGCCUUUGAUACUGGGUAUCUCGAGUCCGGAAGAGGUGAGUGGAAUUCCGAGUGUAGAGGUGAAAUGCGCAGAUAUCAGGAGGAACACCAAUGGCGAAGGCAGCUCACUGGGACGGUAUUGACGCUGAGACGCGAAAGCGUGGGGAGCAAACAGG